rnacentral:rRNA from 1 species
GUCUCAGCGAUGCUCGACUAUACGGGCCCCAUCGACGUAAUCAACUUCUGGCUGCUGCAAAGAAGGAAAACAAAAGGUUUAGGGAUUAACAAGGUGCC